rnacentral:rRNA from 1 species
ACGGAAGGCAGCAGUGGGGAAUAUUGCACAAUGGGGGAAACCCUGAUGCAGCGACGCCGCGUGAGUGAAGAAGUAUUUCGGUAUGUAAAGCUCUAUCAGCAGGAAAGAAAAUGACGGUACCUGACUAAGAAGCCCCGGCUAACUACGUGCCAGCAGCCGCGGUAAUACGUAGGGGGCAAGCGUUAUCCGGAUUUACUGGGUGUAAAGGGAGCGUAGACGGCUUUGCAAGUCUGAAGUGAAAGCCCGGGGCUCAACCCCGGAACUGCCUUGGAAACUGUAGAGCUAGAGUGCAGGAGAGGUAAGUGGAAUUCCUAGUGUAGCGGUGAAAUGCGUAGAUAUUAGGAGGAACACCAGUGGCGAAGGCGGCUUACUGGACUGUAACUGACGUUGAGGCUCGAAGGCGUGGGGAGCAAACAGGAUUAGAUACCCUGGUA